UCUCCUGCCUCAGCCUCCUGAGUAGCUGGGAUUACAGGUGCGCACCACCACACCCAGCUAAUUUUUAUAUUUUUAGUAGAGACAGUGUUUCACCAUGUUGGUCAGGCUGGUAUCCUGACCUCAUGAUCCACCCACCUCAGCCUCCCAAAGUGCUGGGAUUACAGGUGUGAGCCACUGAGCCCUGCCUAUCAUAAGCAAUUUGAAAUCAUUAGACAGGUUUCACAAACAUUAGUUUGAAGGGCAGAGUCUAUCAUAUAGGUUCAUUAUAAUUUAUUCACUCAUUUCUCUUCUUGGGCAUUUUUCUUGAUCCAAAUUUCAAUCUCAUAAACAAUUUUGUCAUAAGUAUCAUUUAUCCAUUCAUUCAUUUAUCUGAGACAGACUCUUGUUCUGUUCUCCAGGCUGGAGCACAGUGGUGCAAGCACAGCUCACUUCAGCCUUGAUCCUCCGGGCUCAACUGAUCCUCCAGCCUCAGCCCCUCGAGUAGCUGGGACUAUAGUUGCAGGCCACCUUGUCUGGCUAAUUUUUUUGGUAUUUUGUGUACAGACAGGGUUUGUCAUCUUGCCCAGGCUAGUCUCCAACUGGGCUCAUGCGACCCACCCACCCUAGUCUCCCAAAGCUCUUGGAUUACAGGCAUGGACCACUACACCUGGCCCACAAACAUCUUUACUAUAACCAUGUUUCCAUGUAUUUCCAAUUACUUUCUUAGGAUAGAGAUUUCUAGAAAUAAGUCACAAGGCAGAGAUACUUUUAGGCCAGGCAUGGUGGCUUGUGACUGUAAUCCCAGAACUUCGAAGACUGAAGUAGGAGAAUAGCUUGAGGCCAGGAGUUGGAGGCUACCGUGAGCUAUGAGCACGCCACUGCAAUCCAGCCUGGGCAGAACAAGAUCCUAUCUCAAUAGUUGUAUUACAUCUUUUUUUUCCUCUUAAAAUAAGUUACGAUAAACAUCUUUUCUCUGCAUUCAUUUUCACAUAUCCUUAAGACACAUUCCCAACAGUGGAAUUCUGGAAAAAAAUGUUUAAAACACCAACAGUAGGCCAGGUGCAAUGGAUCACGCCUGUAAUCCCAGCACUUUGGGAGAGUGAGGCGGGCAGAUCACAAGGUCAGGAGCUUGAGACCAUCCUCGCUAACAUGGUGAAACCCUGCCUACUGAAAAUACAAAAAAUUGGGCCGGGCGCGGUGGCUCACACCUGUAAUCCCAGCACUUUGGGAGGCCGAGGCGAAUGGAUCACAAGGUCAGGAGUUUGAGACCAGCCUGACCAGUAUUGUAAAACCCCGUCUCUACUAAAAAUACAAAAAAUUAGCCAGGCAUGGUGGCGCGUGCCUGCAAUCCCAGCUACUUGGGAGGCUGAGGUAGGAGAGUUGCUUGAACCCGGCAGGCGGAGGUUGCAGUGAGCCGAGAUCAUCGCGCCAUUGCACUCCAGCCUGGGCGACAAAAGCAAAACUCCGUCUCAAAAAAAAAAAAAAAAGAAAAUACAGAAAAUUGGCCAGGUGUGGUGACAUGCACCUGUAGUCCCAGCUACUCAGGAGGCUGCGGUGGGAAAAUUGCUUGAACCGGGAAGGCAGAGAUGGCAGUGAGCCGAGAUCAUGCCACUGUACUCCAGCCUGGACGAGAGUGAGACACUGUCUCAAAAAAAAAAAAAACAUCGACAGUGUCUUGACAGAUCACUCUCCCACAACACUGCUGCUCCACCACACCCAGCUAAUUUUCUAUUUUUUUUCUAGAAACAUGUUCUUCAGGCAAAAACUCCUGGGCUCAAGUGAUCCUUCACUUUUGGCCUCCAAAAGUGACAGGAUUACAAGCAGAAGCCCCCUUGCCUGCCCAGCCCGGUUUACUGUUUUUUUUUUGAGAUGGGAUUUCGCUCUUGUUGCCCAGGCUACAGUGCAAUGGCACGAUCUUGGCUCACUGCAACCUCUGCCUCCCAGGUUCAAGUGAUUCUCCUGCCUCAGCCUCCCGAGUAGCUGGGAUUAUAGACAUGUGCCACCACGCCCAGCUAAUUUUGUAUUUUCAGUAGAGAUGGGGUUUCUCCAUGUUGGUCAGGCUGGUCUCGAACUGCUGACCUCAGGUGAUCCACCCACCUUGGCCUCUCAAAGUGCUGGGAUUACGAGCGUGAGCCACCUCGCCC
rnacentral:lncRNA from 1 species